CUAGGGGAGCGCCCCGCCCCGGCCCGGAAACCGCCGGGAAGGGGACCCCGGAGCCCACCGCUCUGGGUUCCCCGUUCGUGCAGCAGUGGCCACGUACCUCGUCCCUUCCGCACCCCUGCUGGAUCUGGAAGGAAGCAGGAUAUGGGUCCUCAAGGCAGGGCAGACACACCAUUGUAGAGACCUGUGGCCCCAAGCUGAGCCAGCCACACAAGCCGAGAGAGCACUGGCCCAACUGGAGUCAAAUGUGAAUGAGCUAAGCUGAAGGUUUCAGGAACAGUCUCAGAGAUAAUCGAGUUAAAACAAUGGGUUCAGUGAGUCGGGGUAAGAAUGUUGGAGAGAAGACCCCUGAGAGCCCUCCAAGCACACAUGCCCGGGGGCUGUUACAGAGGUGGGCACGGAGCCCAGAGAAGAGCUCGGGAUGGAAACACGGCUUUGGGAGUCACCAGCACAUCCACAGACACCCCAAGGGGGAAGGAGAUGAAGGCCUAGAGGAGAGUCCCCUGGAGAGGGAGGACCCUGAAGACAGCCACGUAUCAGGCAUGUUGGGGGAGAUCUGCCCCUCGGCCCAGGACUCCGAGUCCCUCAGGAAGCGCUUGCUGACGCAGCGCUGAUGGAGCCGCCGGCAGAAGACGGGAACUCUCAUAGUGUAGGAACAGCUUUGAAGUUCUACAUUUUAAAUUCAAGAAGCCAAUUUGCUAACAUUACCCAUCAUUUAGUUCCAUCUCAAUUUAACAGAUGGUAAAACCAACAAGCAGAUAUUAAUUUUUUCAGUAAUGACAAUUUUAUGACUAAACCUUACAUUGCAUGUUUACCUAGAUAUGAUUAGAGAUCAACUUCUGAAGUGAACAUAUCACAACCCCUAAAACCAAAUACUUAAGACCAACUCUAAACAGUGAAUCAUGAUGCCAUGU